rnacentral:rRNA from 1 species
CCUACGGGAGGCAGCAGUGGGGAAUAUUGCGCAAUGGGGGAAACCCUGAUGCAGCAACGCCGCGUGAAGGAAGAAGGUUUUCGGGUUGUAAACUUCUUUUGUCAGGGAAGAGUAUGACGGUAUCUCACUAAUAAGCGCCGGCUAACUCCGUGCCAGCAGCCGCGGUAAUACGUAGGGGGCAAGCGUUAUCCGGAGUUACUGGGGGUAAAGAGCGCGUAGGCGGGGGUACAAGUCAGAUGUGAAAUCCUGGAGCUUAACCCCGGAACUGCAUUUGAAACUGUUAGGCUGGAGUGCUGGAGAGGUAGGUGGAAUUCUUAGUGUAGGGGUGAAAUGCGUAGAGAUUAAGAGGAAUACUAGUGGCGAAGGCGGCCUGCUGGAA